GACGAACGCUGGCGGCAGGCCUAACACAUGCAAGUCGAACGGUAACAGGAAGAAGCUUGCUUCUUUGCUGACGAGUGGCGGACGGGUGAGUAAUGUCUGGGAAACUGCCUGAUGGAGGGGGAUAACUACUGGAAACGGUAGCUAAUACCGCAUAACGUCGCAAGACCAAAGAGGGGGACCUUCGGGCCUCUUGCCAUCGGAUGUGCCCAGAUGGGAUUAGCUAGUAGGUGGGGUAACGGCUCACCUAGGCGACGAUCCCUAGCUGGUCUGAGAGGAUGACCAGCCACACUGGAACUGAGACACGGUCCAGACUCCUACGGGAGGCAGCAGUGGGGAAUAUUGCACAAUGGGCGCAAGCCUGAUGCAGCCAUGCCGCGUGUAUGAAGAAGGCCUUCGGGUUGUAAAGUACUUUCAGCGGGGAGGAAGGGAGUAAAGUUAAUACCUUUGCUCAUUGACGUUACCCGCAGAAGAAGCACCGGCUAACUCCGUGCCAGCAGCCGCGGUAAUACGGAGGGUGCAAGCGUUAAUCGGAAUUACUGGGCGUAAAGCGCACGCAGGCGGUUUGUUAAGUCAGAUGUGAAAUCCCCGGGCUCAACCUGGGAACUGCAUCUGAUACUGGCAAGCUUGAGUCUCGUAGAGGGGGGUAGAAUUCCAGGUGUAGCGGUGAAAUGCGUAGAGAUCUGGAGGAAUACCGGUGGCGAAGGCGGCCCCCUGGACGAAGACUGACGCUCAGGUGCGAAAGCGUGGGGAGCAAACAGGAUUAGAUACCCUGGUAGUCCACGCCGUAAACGAUGUCGACUUGGAGGUUGUGCCCUUGAGGCGUGGCUUCCGGAGCUAACGCGUUAAGUCGACCGCCUGGGGAGUACGGCCGCAAGGUUAAAACUCAAAUGAAUUGACGGGGGCCCGCACAAGCGGCGGAGCAUGCGGAUUAAUUCGAUGCAACGCGAAGAACCUUACCAAGGCUUGACGUGCACGGCGGCACUGCAGAGAUGUGGUGGCAUUUAGUUGGUCGUGUGCAGGUGGUGCAUGGUUGUCGUCAGCUCGUGUCGUGAGAUGUUGGGUUAAGUCCCGCAACGAGCGCAACCCUUGCCCUAUGUUGCCAGCACGUGAUGGUGGGGACUCGUGGGGGACUGCCGGGGUUAACUCGGAGGAAGGUGGGGAAGACGUCAAAUCAUCAUGCCCCUUAUGUCUUGGGCUUCACGCAUGCUACAAUGGCUGGUACAGAGGGUUGCGAUACUGUGAGGUGGAGCGAAUCCCUUAAAGCCAGUCUCAGUUCGGAUUGGGGUCUGCAACUCGACCUCAUGAAGUCGGAGUCGCUAGUAAUCGCAGAUCAGCAACGCUGCGGUGAAUACGUUCCCGGGGCU
rnacentral:rRNA from 1 species